rnacentral:rRNA from 1 species
UGGUGGAGUGAUUUGUCUGGUUAAUUCCGUUAACGAACGAGACCUCGACCUGCUAAAUAGUCUGGCGAACCCUCCGGGGUUCGUGGCGACUUCUUAGAGGGACUAUCGGUGUGUAGCCGAUGGAAGUUCGAGGCAAUAACA